rnacentral:lncRNA from 1 species
AAGGAGGAUAGGAUACGUGGAUCGUAAGCGCUAACAAACUAUUCCAAAAAUACGUACUGAUAAAAAGGAUGCACUCAUUAUACUUAGGGACUCAGUCACAGUGCUCGCAGACUUCAACCUAAUUCAAUCCUUCUGAACAUUAGGUCUAUUGUUUAGUCUUUUACCGUUAUGUUUCUUGUGAGCCGUACUUCCACUUAACUUACUAGACUUACCGAACUUAACUUAUUAAUUUUUUAAAUUUAUUACUUAUCAUGGAGCAGAAUGUUGGACAUAUUUUAGUCCAAUAUUAAAU